GAUGAACGCUAGCGGCAGGCUUAAUACAUGCAAGUCGAGGGGCAGCACGGUUCGCAGCUAUGCGGGCGGGUGGCGAGUGGCAGACGGGUGAGGAAUGCGUACACAAUUUUCCCUGAGCAGGGGGAUAAGCCGGGGAAACCAGGCCUAAUCCGCCUUAGUUCUCUUUGUAGACGUCGUGGAGGUAAUAACACUGCGGUGGCUUUUGAGGAGUGGGCGUCCUAUUGGGUAGUUGGCGGGGUCACAGCCCACCGAGCCGACGAUGGGUAAGUGGUGUGAGAGCACGACCACUCACAAGGGCACUGAGCCACCGGCCCGACUCCUACGGGAGGCAGCAGUAAGGAAUAUUAGUCAACGGACGCAAGUCUGAACCAGCCAGGCCGCGUGAAGGAGGAAGGUCCUCUGGAUUGCAAUCUUCUUUUAUAGGAGAAGAAAAAAGGGUUUUUUAACUCGCUUGACGGUACCCUAUGAAUAAGCACCGGCUAACUCCGUG
rnacentral:rRNA from 1 species